AGGUUUUUGUGAAAAUUGGAUUCCUUAGUUAAUUGCAAUGCACUGAAAUUGAAGGGAGUUGAGUUAUCAUCAUUUCCGCAGUAACUGACUCCUUAGUAGAAGAAGCUGGCAAGCAGAGGGCUGGUGAGGGUACUGUUUGUAUCAGCUUUAGGACUGGGGUUGAGAUCUGAAAUUUUCAGCUAUUUCCAAGUCUGGCUGGAAGCCCAGCCCAGGAAUGAUGAAUACCACUCUGGAAGCUAUCAUAUUUAUUUAAUGAGCACCCCCUUCGCACACUCUACCCGCCCUCCACCCCAAUCUGAAGAGGCAGGCAAGAUGGGGUUUUCUCUAUGGGCUGUUUCUCAGGUUGACUAGAAAGUGUGCACUCCGAGGGGCUGGUAAGGUCUGUUGAGAAAGGGUAAAUGGACCUCUACCCACUGAUAUAAAGCAUCUUUAAUUCAUGAACAACCAGAUCAAAAAUUCUCUAAAUAGAUAAGUAGGAAGCAUGUUUUUAAAAUAUCACUUAGCUUUUUUCCCUCAACUAAGCUCCUUCUCUCAGAUACCAACUGGAGAAAUUUGAAUCAAGAACGUUCCUAUUUUCCUGCAGCUCUCUGAAGCCAGAAACAAGAGCUUAUCCUGACCAAAGAAAAGAGAAAAAGAAAUACACCUUGUUUUGAUUGAGCUGGCUUGCUCUUAACUACCUAUAUUAGUGUAAGAAAAAGCACAUGUUGCAAAGUCUUUGGUCUCACGGUAUCCUGCAAUCCCGAUGGAUAGGGAGAACAUCCUUGGAUAGGUUGAAAUCCCUGCAGAAAUAAAAAACUUUUAAAAACCCUGAAAUGCUGCCCUCCCCCGCCCCAGCCCAAUGUUAAGAGAACAAAAGCAAUGACUUUUCGGACUGUCCUAGCUGAGGGUAUCAGGAUGUCAAGGAGGACAAGGCAUCCUGCAAACAUCUGUCUCAGGCCUGAGUAAUCUAGAAUCUUGAGGGUCCAGACUAGAUGAUGCCCCUACCAAAUUAUUAUCCUGUUGCUUCCUUAAGGAUUUCUCAAGCUGUAAAGACAGCAAUGGCAGGAGAUAGGUUUGCUCAUACGUGGGUGCUAUCUCGUGCUGUUUUGAUGGAGCCAUGUGGUUAUUUAAAGCAAUAACUGAGGUGCUUUAUCAUCCUUUGGAACAGCAAAAUGAGUUCCAAAGUAGAAAUUAUUGCCCAAUAAUUUUUAGGAUCAUUAAGGCUCCUUUAGCUAGCAUCCAGAUCAUUACUUUUCCCUCUUUUGCUCUCCCCCUGCCUCCUCCCACUGCCUCCCUCUCUCUGUCUGCAUUUCCUCUGUUUCAUCAGUUUGUGCAUCUCAUUUUGUGACACCAAACUCUGCCAGAAGAUGCUGAUUUAUUUCUGAGGGGAUGGGGGGACUAGAACGGAUGUAGUAGAUCCUGUCUCAUUUAACACUGCGAUUUCUAUUUCUCCUCUUGCCCAUGCAUUGUGACAUUUCAUUGCUCUGGAAAAUUUCCGUUGGAACAUUGGGUCGAGAAGUCAGAAUAUAGAGAAUGGCAAGCCAAAAAUAUGCCCUUUGGAGAGCCCUGUGAUGCAAAUUAUAUUCCACAUAAAGCCAUUAACCAGCCACAGAGCAGUACCAGCUAACUAAUCUGAGGAUGAGAGAUAUUUGCUGGCUGCAUACAGCUUCCAAGCAUAACGGCUCUCCCAUUCCCACCCUUGCCUUGCUUCACAGUUCCCUGCAUUGCCUUGUUUUGGGCCUGCCUUUCUCCAGAUUCAACUGUUCCCUUAUGCAACUUUAGAAAUCCAGCAUCCUAUUUAAACACGCUGCCUUCUGAAAUGGACAGAGGUCAAUGGGAAGUGGGUCCUUGUUCUGGCUCUACCUCAGGCUCACCAUGGACACGUAGAGGAGGUCAUCAAAGAGACUUCUAUCAGAAUCGAGGCCGGCUCCCAAAAGGCCAAAUCCACCUGUCCUACAGAGCAGCCAGCCAAGUCAGUGACAUUUCAUGACUAG
ensembl:lncRNA